rnacentral:rRNA from 1 species
UGAACGCUGGCGGUAGGCUUAACACAUGCAAGUCGUGCGAGAAAGUAUCUUCGGAUAUGAGUAGAGCGGCGGACGGGUGAGUAACGCGUAGGAAUCUACCUAGUAGAAGGGGAUAGCCCGAGGAAACUCGGAUUAAUACCGUAUACCUCCUUAGGGAGAAAGAGGGCCUCUCUUGAUGCUCUCGCUAUUAGAUGAGCCUGCGUAAGAUUAGCUUGUUGGUGAGGUAAUGGCUCACCAAGGCUACGAUCUUUAGCUGGUCUGAGAGGACGAUCAGCCACAUUGGGACUGAGACACGGCCCAGACUCCUACGGGAGGCAGCAGUGGGGAAUAUUGGACAAUGGGCGCAAGCCUGAUCCAGCCAUACCGCGUGUGUGAAGAAGGCCUUCGGGUUGUAAAGCACUUUAAGCAGGGAGAAAAAGUUAUAAGUUAAUACCUUAUAACCGUGAUGUUACCUGCAGAAUAAGCACCGGC